rnacentral:rRNA from 1 species
UACGUAGGGUGCAAGCGUUGUCCGGAAUCACUGGGCGUAAAGGGCGCGUAGGCGGCCUGAUAAGUAGGGGGUGAAAGUCCUGUGGCUUAACUGCAGGGCUGCCUCCUAGACUGUUAGGCUCGAGCACGGUAGAGGCAGAUGGAAUUCCCGGUGUAGCGGUGGAAUGCGUAGAGAUCGGGAAGAACAUCGGUGGCGAAGGCGGUCUGCUGGGCCGUUGCUGACGCUGAGGCGCGACAGCGUGGGGGAGCAAACAGG